UAUAAAUUAUAAGAAUCUCUUGUCAUGUAUGAGGAUAUAAUUGUCAUGUAUAAGGAGAAAAAACUAUUUCUGGCGCUUUUUAACAUAUAACCUUCUUUUGCAGAUAUAUCAUAUAAUUGCGAUUAAAAUGACAGAUUGGGAAAAUUACAGGACUCAGACUGACUACAAAGACGCAUUGAUAUUAAAACUGUUUCCUUUCCAUUUUGCUAACAGUUACUCAUCACUAUUUUAUAUUGCAUUUCUUAGAAAGGACAAUCAGAAGUUCUUUCAAUUGAUUGGACUAUCUGACUUUGAAGAUAAUUGCGGGGAACUGAACAAUUGUGUGUCAGAGCUUAGUAUUCAGGUUCUUAUACUCAUGAUCUUUAAAAUGGGACCCAAGUUCAUAUCAGAUAUUUU